rnacentral:SRP_RNA from 1 species
GCCGGGCGUGGUGGCGUGCACCUGUAAUCCCAGCUACUCAGGAGGCUGAGGCAGAAGAAUUGCUUGAACCUGGUAGGCGGAGGUUGCAGUGAGCCGAGAUCGUGCCACUGCACUCCAGCCUGGAGACAGAAUGAGACUCCGUCUCAAAAAUAAAUAAAUAAAUAAGCAAUCCUUCUUCCUUUUUUUUUUUUUUUUUUGUGAGACGGAGUCUUGCUCUGUCACCCAGGCUGGAGUGCAGUGGCUGGAUCUCAGCUCACUGCAAGCUCCGCCUCCCGGGUUUACGCCAUUCUCCUGCCUCAG